rnacentral:rRNA from 1 species
UACGUAGGGGGCUAGCGUUGUCCGGAAUCAUUGGGCGUAAAGAGCGUGUAGGCGGCCCGGUAAGUCCGCUGUGAAAGUCGGGGGCUCAACCCUCGAAUGCCGGUGGAUACUGUCGGGCUAGAGUGCGGAAGAGGGAAGCGGAAUUUCCGGUGUAGCGGUGAAAUGCGUAGAUAUCGGAAGGAACAUCAGUGGCGAAAGCGGCUCGCUGGGACGGUACUGACGCUGAGACGCGAAAGCGUGGGGAGCAAACAGG